UUUUUAAAUAAAAUAGAGACAGAGGCUAGGUGCGGUGGCUCAUGCCUGUAAUCCCAGCACUUUGGGAGGCUGAGGCAGGCAGAUGACGAGGUCAGAAGUUCAAGACCAGCCUGGACGACAUGACAAAACCCUGUCUCUACUGAAAAUACAAAAAUUAGCUGGGCAUGGUGGCACAUGCCUGUAGUCCCAGCUACUCAGGAGGCUGAGGCAGGAGAACCGCUUGAACUCGGGAAGCAGAGGUUGCAGUGAGCCGAGAUCACACCAUUGCACUCUAGCCUGGGUGACAGAGCGAGACUCUAUCUCAAAAAAUAAAUAAAUAAAUAAUAGAGACAGAGUAUGACUAUGUUGCCUAGGCUGUUCUUUAACUCCUGGUCUUAAGCAAUCCUCCUGCCUUGCCCCUGCUAAAAUGUUGGGAUCACAGGUGAAGCCACCAUGUCCAGCCUUUUUUUUUUUUUUUUUUUUUUUUGCUUUCUCUCUCUCUCUCUCUUUCAUAAAUUAGAGAUGGAGUCUCACUAUAUUGCCCAGGCUAGUCUCAAAUUCCUGGCCUUAAGUGAUCCUCCCACCUCGUAAUCUACUUUUUGGGGACUAAUGAGGUGUAGCCAAAAUACAACAUGUGGGAGGCAGUAAAUGUAGAGAUUAGGAGUAGAUUUGGCAAGCCAGACUGCUGUGGUCACACCCCAGCACAGAAUUUAUGAAUCCGGCUCCUCUCCAUUCAAAUCUCUGCCAAAAAUCACCUCCUUCUGGAGGCCCACCAUGACUAUUCUAUUUAAUACAGCUUACCCCACUGCCCUAUCACUCUCUACACCAUUCUCAUUUUAUUAUGCUCAGAGUAUCUAUUAUUCUCCGAAGAAGCAUUUCUUGAAAUCUAGCUGGUAAUCUUCUUUCCUUAUUAGAAUGUAAGCUCCAUGAGAGCAGGGAUCUCUCUGUAUCAGAAUCUGUAUUGUGCUUGGUAGGUAGUUGACUCAAUAAACAUUUCUGAGUGAAUGAAUAUAUUAUAUGGAAAUUGAAGAAUACAAGCUUCUCCACAUAAGCACGUGGCAGAAAAGACAAAAAGAGAGGUAGAGAAAAAGACUCUCUUUUUAUUUAAGCUUCCCUCCCCUGUUGAAAUCCACUACUCCAAAAAAGGGAGACACUGACCAAAACAGAAACAAAAGAAACUAAUUCUUGGUUUUUAUGCUUCCUGAUAAUUUAAGGGAUUUUCAUAGAUAGGUUUGACAAAUGCAAUUUUUUUGCCUUAGGCACUGGCACUAGAAACUAUUAAUAAACAAGAUUGGCCUACAGAGGGUGCUAGUUCUCUUCAAAAAAGUAAAAGAAGUGCAUGCGCUUUUCCACUGGGUCUGGGAAAGAGUUUACAAAACAAGCAGAGACACAGCUUAGUAACAACUAAUGAAACGUCUAAAUUGCCACAUUUUGCUUCAUAAAAAAAAAAAAAGGAGGAAUCUGUGAAAGUGCCAGAGGCAUUCAAAGACGUCCCCUGAGGAAAAGAAUUGGCAUCAUUUUUCAAAUGCAAAGAGAAGCUAAGCUAAGAGAAGCAUCCAUUUAAAAAGUUUUUUUAGUUCUUAUUUUUGAUAGAGAAGGGGUAUCACUAUGUUGACUGGCCUGAUUUUGAACUCGGAGGCUCAAAGGAUCCUCUGCCCCUCAGAGUGCUUGGAUUGCAGGUGUGAGCUACCAAGAGAGGCAUCCAGAAGUUGAAAAGACUGAAUCUGUUGUGAAACAGAAGACCCAGGUCGGGGGAAGUUGUUGCCAGCCCUGGAGGGAGGAGAGGUGACAGGCCUCUGCCACAUUCCACCCCCACUUCAUGCUGGGACAUGGGGACCUGGAGACCUAGUGUGAGAUGCCUGUAGACUCUGUAACUGGAGGAGUGUUCUGACAGCUGUGUUUCCUGAAACUGAGUCUUGGUUUCAGAGUUCAGCAAGGGAUAUGCAUGGUGGUGGUAGCGUUGGGACAGAAGCGGGGCACUACUUGAGAGUUUUGAAAUAUGUAAUUUGUCACAGCAAGGACAAGGGCAAGUGAGCCUGGCAGGAGGGAGGAGCCUCUUCAAAGUCUGGAUCUGCAAAAAAAAUCUUCAGAAGAGGAAAUGAAACAAAUAAGCGAGUUCUUAAAAAAGCUUUUGAGCUCUCUAAAUGAGCAAUAGUUGAGGCAGCUUUGAUAGUCCAAAGCUAACCUCAAGGCUGAGAUUCUUAAUCCUAGUACUCUAGACGUCAUAUUCCAGUGAUCAGAUGCAGAAUCCAUAAGUGCUCUGACAGGUCUUAUCAUUAUGUGUGGUGUUUUCACUUAGUGAGUGCCCUUGUUUUGUCAGUUCAAGGUGGCUUGCUUAGUUACUUUAUUGUAAUGUUCAAUGGCUAAACUUUAAACAAAAAUCAAUAAAGGGCAAGGAAUGAGUUUGCAAAAACUAUCAGCCACUUCCCUCAAUUUAAUUGUAAAAUCAAUCAAAUCUGUUUUUUGGCACAGUGCAAGGAAAACAUCUAUUUGUCCAAUAAACUGUCUCAUUGAUUAAAUGGUUCAUUUGGAAGAGAUAACAAAAGUCUAAGAUUUUAAUCUCAAGGAAAAAUGUAUCUUGCAAACAUGUUUUCAAGAUCCUGAGAUCAUAUUAUUUUCCUUUAAGGAUUUGCUUCAUCCCAGGUGUUCAUCUAAUCCUACUUUUGCUAUUUUUAAUCAUUAUUCAUCUAUGUAAAAUGGAAAAUCUAUUUAGAUGCUUAAAAGUCAACGUAAGCUCACAAACCUGAAUUUCAGCAACUAAAAAGGGAGAAGUAAUAAUGAUUCAGUUCUUACUGGGAGCUACUUUAUACACUAUUUUAUUUGGACCUCAUAACAACUAUAUGAGAGAGAACUGUGCACUCUCUGCCAGGGGUUAGGGUUAACAUAAAGCCAAAACCCAGGCAGGUCACGAAAAUGAGCAAAGCAGGCCAGUUAUGAGUGCUGUCACCUUACAAGGAGGUGGAAACAAUGUUUCCGGAUCCUGUUUCUUAAGAGAAGCCAAAAGAUUUACGUAAAGUCUCCUGAUUUUUUUUCAAUGGUGGUAAUUGAUUAAAAUAAAUAUUUCCAAUACUGUAUGUACUGAAUAAAGAAAAUUUGGGGCUGACCCUGGCCCAGCAACUGCCACUUAGCAAUGUCUGGUAUUGAAGUGAAAAUAAGGCUCAGGGCUGGGCACGGUGGCUCAUGCCUGUAAUCCUAGCACUUUAGGAGGCCAUGGUGGGCAGAUUGCUUGAACCCAGGAGUUCCAGACUAGCCUGGGCAACAUGAUGAAAUCCUGUCUCUACAAAAAGUACCAAAAAAAAUCAGCCAAGCAUGGUGGCAGGCACCUGUAGUCUCAGCUACUUGGGAGGCUGAGGUGGGAGGAUUGCUUGAGUCCAGGAGGCCGAGGUUGCAGUGAGCUGAGAUUACACUACUACACUUCUGCCUGGGCAACAGAGCAAGACUCUGUCUCAAAAAGAAAAGGCUCAGGAAGGUGACAUCACUAUGCUAAUUCAAGGAGGAAUGAAAGAGUGACCUCAUGGGACAGUAGAUCAGAGAAUGUUCUACCUGGUGGCCAGCCUAUUUGUGGGGAGGGGUCCCUAAGAAGAGGCUGUAUGCUGGCUUGGGUUAUGGAGGGCCAAAGCUCAGGGGCCUGGGGGAAGGAGAGAAGCUUAACCAAAGUUUGGCUAACAGGCAUUUUGUUCUGAUUGAUCAGUGGUGACAAGCAGUUCAGCUAGUCAUUUAGGAGGUCAAAAACAGAAGACUGGAAGAUCCCUAUCUAGUUUUGUCAUCAGUAGACAAAGGGGCACUCAUGAAACUUGUCUAAGUCAUACGGGGAAGGGUGGCCCCUUGCAGUAAGUCAUUUUCCAGAACGUAAAAGGGCAAUGGGCUUUCUUAACCUUCAGGUAAAAUUCCACUUUGUCAAAACAUAAGCAUGAUGUAGACAAAGGUUGAGAGUGAGAUCAGGCUUAUUGCCCAGUCUUAAGCCAUUUAAACCCAAGGUGGACUUUCCCCUCAGGAAAGAAGGGAAGGAAAGAAGCUAGGAAGGCCCUGGCUAGGUUCUGUGUGGGUUGGGGAAUGUGAAUCCUGAUGGAGCAGCCUAAAGAAGUCAAGCAGUCCUGUAGCAGCAGCCGUGGGGGAGGUUCCUCCUGGGAGUGGAGGAGGGCGAGUGCUGCAGGUCCAUCAGUGGAAAUGGGAAUGGACCAUUAGGCGGAGAAGACUUAUCGAAGCUGCGAAGUCCAAGAUCAAGGUGCCAGCAGAUUCUGUUCCUGGUGAAGGCUAUCUUCCUGUUUUGCAGGUGGCUACCUUCUCGCUGUGUCCUCAUAUGGUGGAGAGUGAGACUUCAUCUAAAAAGAAAAAAAAAAACCCACUCCGGACAUAGUGACUGUAGCUGGGUCUUGGACUGCAAGAAGACCAUCCUGGGUCUAACUGUGGCCCAGGCUGGAAUGCUGCGGCAUCAUUACAGCUCACUGCAGCUUCGACCUCCCCAGCUCAAGUGAUCCUCCUGCCUCAGCCUCCCGACUAGCUGGGACCACAGGCAUGUGCGACACCAACCAGCUAAUGUUUUUUUUUUUUGUUUUUUUUUUGUUGUUGUUGUUGUUUGUUUGUUUGUUUUUAGUAGAGAUGAUGUCACAUUAUGUUGCCCAAACUCAUAGCUGGUCUUGAACUCCUGCCCCCAAGUGAUCCUCCUGCCUUGGCCUCCCAAAGUGCUAGGAUUAUAGGCAUGAGCCAUUGCACCUGGCCAAUGCUUUCUGAAAUUACCGUUUCAAUAAACUGCUUUUUAUCCCCAUUAUUCUCUAACUGGAGUACCUUUAUAUUUUUUUAAAAACAUGUUUAAACUUGGGAUCUUUUCAUCCAUUUUGCAUAUAUCCUCAUGCAGAGACUUCUCCCCACCCAUACCCCAAUACUAAAAUUACAAGCCUGUGGCCUGUCCAUCUUUCUGUGGUGCCCAUUCUUGCCUGCCGAGGACUACCAUUUGCUCCUGACUCAAGUACACUGCCCACUUAUUAGUGUGCCCACCAUUCCCAUUAGACACUUGCCAACCUCCCCCAUCCUCUUUGUUUGCCUGAACCAUGUAUCUGUUUGUUACCUGUCACAGUAUCUUUAUUUUUUAAAAUUUAUUUUAAUUGUAAAUUGACAGAUUAUAGUUGUAUAUAUUUAUGAGAUUGUUGUGGCUCAGAAAACAAUAUCCCAAAGUGAAGGCCUCAGAGGUAGCCUCAGAAGCAAGUUCUCUCUGACCUUCUCCUUCCCUCCUGUCUCUGGCCCAUCAGUCUCCCCCGAGGCUAGCCAUAAAAACUAUAAUCCUUCUUCCCCAAGGUGUGUUAUAGAAACUAGAACUCCUGUUCCUCAAAGCCAGCCAUAAAACCUAAAAACAUUACUCUAACCUCCUGCCACUCCCCGACCUUCCUGUGUAAGACCUGGCCAUAAAGAAAUCUCUGACUUACAUUGUUUAACGAUAGGUCAUAAGACACUCAUUCCAAAAAGGGUUCUGCCUCAUACCUGGAAGGAAGACAGCUGCACAGAGAGGCCAGGAAGAACCUUAACAGACAGGCCUUGCUGGGAUUCCCCACUCGGUCUAUUUCCAUAAGAUUAUACCUUUUCUGUCCAAACACAGUUCUACACUGCGGUCCAUUCUUCAUGGAACCUAAGUAUAAAAAUGGAUGGUUUUACCUGUAUCUUUGGGUCUUCAUUCUAAAGGCUCCCAUGUCAUAUAAAACUAUGAUUAAAUAAAUUUGUAUGCUUUUCUCUUGUUAACCUGUCCUUUUUUAUAGGAGUGUCAGCUUGGACCCUCAGGAUGGGGAGAAAAGGGAUCACCCCCUUUCUAUCCCUAUGAGUGAGCACAGGGAGGAGGAGGUGCAUGCAAGCGAUACUGCAGGGCCAGAAUCAGAAUCAUCAGCACGUAGCAACUGAUUGGAUUUCUGGAGCAAGAAAGAAGAGUUGAAGAUAAUGUUGAACUUUCUCAUUGGGAGAUUUUACUAACAUUAUUGAGCAAUUACUGCAUGAUGGAUGUUACGCUAAGAGCAUUCUACAAUUAUUAUACCUCUUACGUCUCCCAGUAGUUCUGUUAAGUAAGUACUAUUGUUUUUGUUUUAGAGACAGAGUCGGCUCUGCCACUCAGGCUGUAGUCCAGUGGUGCAAUCUCAGCUUACCAUAGCCUCGGGCUCAAGCGAUCCUCCCACCUCAGCUCCCCAAGUAGCUGUGGUCCCAGCUGGCUCCAUAUGAAAAGCCUCUUGCUUCCUUAAUUACUAACCAAUGGUAAUAGUUUUUUUCUUUUUUGUUUUUUUCAAGAGACAAGGUCUUGCUCUGUCACCCAGGCUGGAGUGCAGUGGUGGUAACAUAGCUCACUGCAGCCUUGAACUCCUGGGCUCAAGGGAUCCUCCCACCUCCGCCUCCUGAGUAGCUGGGACUACAGGCAUAUGCCACCAUGCCCAGCUAAUUUUCAAAUAUUUUGUAGAGACCAGGGUCUUGCUAAUUGCCCAGGCUGGUCUUGAACUCUUACCUCAAGCAAUACUCCUGCCUCAGCCUCCCAAAGUGCUAGUACUUCAGGUGUGAGCCACCACCCCCGGUG
rnacentral:lncRNA from 10 species